ensembl:lncRNA
AGCCGUUGUGCCGCGGCGAUGGUGGAGGUCCGGCGGAUGAGGCGGCGGGUGUGGGAGCGAGGAGCGGAGUGGCGAGAGAGGGAGUGGCCGAAGCGCGGCGUGGAACGUCCACUCUCCACGGCAAAUGCUCCGGUACAGGUGAGGCAGCAGGUGGGGGAACGCGGCGUCUCCGAGGCCCGCCCAGAGCCAAGCGAGUGCCCUCGAAGACGUGCUCUCACUCCGCGAAGAGCCGCUGUCUCUCCUUGAGCUUUUCCGCCCACAAGGAGAGCGCUACCUCCUGCCGCUCGUAGAGGUCCGAGUCCGCUGGGUUCCAAACGUGUCUUCGUGGCACGGGUCGUGUCAUUCUGUCAGCGGUUGGGUGGAGGCGAGGAAGAAGGAACCCAAACGCAGGACUCGCAGGGAAGCCUGCCUAUGAAAUGGAUCAAACAAAUCCAGACUGGGUACCAACGCUACACAUGGGGCACUCCGAAAUCCGAACGUCACAUUCAGACCAUCACAGGAGGCAAACACAACGGCAACAACAAAAAAAACACUAGGAGGCUUUCAUAGUGGAGCAGAAGAGUGUGAAGGUGAGGCCUCAGCAGAAGUUACGGCAGAAGAGCAGCCAGAGAUGGACACGACAGAAGAGCAACACCAUAACAACCCUGUCACUUUGGCUGAGGGCCAGAUUUGUGUUGGACAUGUAGAGGCAGAGGUAGUGGGUGCAAAUGUAGAAAAUGAUGAUCUGAGAGAGAUACAGACAGAAGAUCAAAGACCGACAAAUGAUUGUGUGCGCUGUGUACAGAGCAGAGCACAAAUAAACCGGCUGCUGGAGGAGAACAGAAGGCUUAAAUCACUGUUGGACAAGGCAGAGAUGAAUGAAAACUUCUUAAAGGGUGACACAGAAAAAGGGAAAUAUUACACUGGUCUUACUUGUUUCGCUAUUUUUAUGUCCGUGCUCGACAAUGUAAAAGCUUUCCUACCAGCAUCAAAGAAACUGUAGCAUUUCCAAAUGCUUUUACUCACACUGCAUCAGAUAAACACAUCACAGAGCAAUGUGGCAUACUUAACAAGCUGUUACCAGGGGAUGUAGUUUUGGCUGACAGAGGCUUUGACAUCAGAGAUGCAGUGGGAAUGAUGUGUGCGGAGGUUAAGAUCCCAGCAUUUACAAGGGGCUUCUGUCAACUAGAUGCCAAGGACAUUGAAAAUACACGAGCCAUUGCACACCUGAGAAUCCAUGUCGAGCGAGUAAUUGGCAGUUUGCGCAACAAGUUCAAAAUGCUACACACCACCAUGCCAAUGCGUUCUCUUCUUCCAUGUGAGGGUGAAGACGUUACCUUUCUUGAUAAAAUUGUGCGUGUGUGUUGUGUUUUGGUUAACAUGUGCCCCAGUGUGGUAGUGAAACCAGACACACAUGAGACUUGUUCUUGUUAAUUAAUGAUUAUGAAAACUUUGACUAUGUCUCUGAAGACAUAGUACUAGGAAAACCUUUUUUUGUGUGUAAUUGUAUGAACACACUGACAUUACGUUAUGUAACCAUUUCUGUGUCUGUACACUAUAAUCGACAGUUUAUCAUCGCUUUGAACUCUUUGUUUCACUAAAAUGAUGUUAUAAUAAAAGCCAGA